AUUUUCUGAGUACAUGCAGUACAGUUAACUUCCAAUUAACAAACUCUGGUAAAAUCCAGAAGAAAAUA
rnacentral:tRNA from 2 species